AAGGGAAUCAUCUCUCUCUUCCCAAAUUUGGCUGACCCCAGGAGCAAACUUGGCUAUGAGCAUUAUUACAAUACAGAAGAUGGAAGUGGAUUUUUGGCAUGGAGAAUUUAAACUCUGCAAAAAGAAGCAUCGGAGGGUCGGAAGAAACGCCAAUGGCAACCACAAACAGGAGGGCCAACUGCUGAACGGUAUCCCUGCAAAGGAGAUAGUUUGUUAAACGAUGAACUUCAGUGUCAGGAAGCAAUUGCCCUGAUGAAGCAUACAGCUGACGAGGCAGUGGUAAAGGAAAAGAUGAGGUUAACGCUGGCCU